AAGAAGGACGGAAAGAAAAAAGGAAAUAGCUGAGAAUGGGAGUCUCCUACUAGUUGCGGGAAAGGGCCUUAAGCUCCCAAAAAUCCCUGAUUUUGUGCAAAUAAAUUGAGGAAAUUUCACCAAGAUGGGAAAAGUUAAGGGAGGAGAGGAGAAAGGAAGGGAAAGACUUGGCAAAAUGGGAUGGAAGCCAUUAGGGUUUCUUGGAAAAAAU
rnacentral:lncRNA from 1 species